rnacentral:piRNA from 1 species
CCAAUCCUGACAGGUGGUCC